rnacentral:misc_RNA from 3 species
ACCUUUCAAAUCAGGGUGCGGCGCGGCCCCCGAGGAGCGGAAACAAUCCUUGGGAGGUAUGCGGGGGCUUCGAGCCCCCCAUUUACGCACGCACGACUGCCAUCCUUACUUUACGAGCACCUUCUGUUCUCCCUCGGCGGGGCAACCUGCCGUUGGAACCGAAUAAACUCUUUUUGCAUCUAGCAUUACCUGUUCCGAAACAAACAAUCGUUA